UGGGGAAUAUUGCACAAUGGGCGCAAGCCUGAUGCAGCCAUGCCGCGUGUAUGAAGAAGGCCUUCGGGUUGUAAAGUACUUUCAGUCGGGAGGAAGGUGUCAAGGUUAAUAACCUUGGCAAUUGACGUUACCGACAGAAGAAGCACCGGCUAACUCCGUGCCAGCAGCCGCGGUAAUACGGAGGGUGCAAGCGUUAAUCGGAAUUACUGGGCGUAAAGCGCACGCAGGCGGUUGAUUGAGUCAGAUGUGAAAUCCCCGGGCUUAACCCGGGAAUUGCAUCUGAUACUGGUCAGCUAGAGUCUUGUAGAGGGGGGUAGAAUUCCAUGUGUAGCGGUGAAACGCGUAGAGAUGUGGAGGAAUACCGGUGGCGAAGGCGGCCCCCUGGACAAAGACUGACGCUCAGGUGCGAAAGCGUGGGGAGCAAACAGG
rnacentral:rRNA from 1 species